rnacentral:rRNA from 1 species
GAUGAACGCUAGCGGCAGGCUUAAUACAUGCAAGUCGAGGGGUAACAUGGUAGCAAUACUGAUGACGACCGGCAAACGGGUGCGGAACACGUACAGAACCUUCCUUUAAGCGGGGGAUAGCCCAUAGAAAUGUGGAUUAAUACCCCAUAGUAAUAUUGUCUGGCAUCAGAUGGUAUUUAAAGAUUUAUCACUUAAAGAUGGCUGUGCGGCUGAUUAGGUAGNGGUGCGGGUAACGGCCUACCAUGGCUCCGAUGGGUAGCUGGUUUGAGAGAGCGACCAGCCACACUGGGACUGAGAAACGGCCCAGACUCCUACGGGAGGCAGCAGUGAGGAAUUUUCCGCAAUGGGCGAAAGCCUGAC